CCAGACUCCUACGGGAGGCAGCAGUGGGGAAUAUUGGGCAAUGGGCGCAAGCCUGACCCAGCAACGCCGCGUGAAGGAAGAAGGCUUUCGGGUUGUAAACUUCUUUUAUUCGGGACGAAGCAAGUGACGGUACCGAAUGAAUAAGCCACGGCUAACUACGUGCCAGCAGCCGCGGUAAUACGGAGGAUGCGAGCGUUAUCCGGAUUUAUUGGGUUUAAAGGGUGCGCAGGCGGUCUGUUAAGUCAGCGGUAGAAGGCCGGGGCCCCCCCCCCGCCCCGCCGUUGAAACUGGCAGUCUCGAGUUGGAGAGAAGUAUGCGGAAUGCGCGGUGUAGCGGUGAAAUGCAUAGAUAUCGCGCAGAACUCCGAUUGCGAAGGCAGCAUGCCGGCUCCACACUGACGCUGAGGCACGAAAGCGUGGGUAUCGAACAGGAUUAGAUACCCCCGUAC
rnacentral:rRNA from 1 species